GGGCCACAAAGAUAGGUUGGGGGUUCGAGAUGUUCUUGCUAUUGGGCAUGAAGGAUGGUCAUCAGGCCGAGAAAGGUUUGUCCGGGAGCUGGGCUUCCUUGACGGGCUAAGCGGUCAGCCUUUGGUUUAUAGGGGUAUAAUCCUUUCAGAGAGGGUCAAUGCUUCUAUAGAUCAGGGGUUGUUGGAGACUUACGGUCCUGGGGGAAUGGGACGUAUUUUAAAGGUUUUGUUGAAUUACAACCAGAUUAUGUGUAGGCAUUGGCUUGCUCUUUUUUUCUUAGCUUACGUUGUAGAAGUUCUUUUUUGGGUUGUUAUUUCUUAGGUGUCUCUUGUCUUGAGAACUUAUUUUGAUCAGUUUGAUUGGAGGCUAAGAGUUGGUGGGGUCUUUUGCUUUCUUUUACCCUAUUUUAUUGUCUAUUCUUUUUUAAGUCCUGUGUUUUUAAGGAUAGGAAGGCUUGAGCUUGUUUUUAGGUGGUUUGUACUGACCUUAGCUAAGUUUUUUAGGGAGCAUGAAUGGACUAAGAAAGCUGGAAGUGCUCAUUUUUUGACUUUUAUCUCAGUUCUUUUAUUGAGUGUUAAUUUGGUGGGUAUACUUCCUUUUGUUAAGGGUGUUAGGGUUAUGCCUGUUUUCACUUUAAUUACGGGGCUUUCUUUGUGGAGGUUAGGAAGGUUGGCUACUGUGUGGGGUAUUGGAAAGUUCGCUAAAGGCGUAUGGGUUAAGGGGGCUCCUUUACCUCUUAACUUGUUUGUCGUAUGUGCUGAGCUUCUUAGUUGGACUAUUCGUCCUUUUAUUUUGGGAAUUCGGUUGCUUGUUAAUGUCUCUUGCGGGCACAUUAUUCUUGCUCUUUUGGGGGAGCUGGUGAGGUUUUUUGCUUGGGAGGGGAAGGUGGUAGGGUUAGUUGC
rnacentral:rRNA from 1 species